UACAGAGGGUGCGAGCGUUAAUCGGAAUUACUGGGCGUAAAGAGUGCGUAGGUGGUUAGAUAAGUCAGAUGUGAAAGCCCUAGGCUUAACCUGGGAAUUGCGUUUGAUACUGUCUAGCUAGAGGAUGGGAGAGGGAAGUGGAAUUUCCGGUGUAGCGGUGAAAUGCGUAGAUAUCGGAAGGAACACCAGUGGCGAAGGCGGCUUCCUGGACCAUAACUGACACUGAGGCACGAAAGCGUGGGGAGCGAACAGG
rnacentral:rRNA from 1 species